rnacentral:misc_RNA from 1 species
GAUGAAGAACGUAGCGAAAUGCGAUAAGUAAUGCGAAUUGCAGAAUUCCGUGAGUCAUCGAAUCUUUGAACGCACAUUGCGCCCCUUGGUAUUCCAUGGGGCAUGCCUGUUCGAGCGUCAUUUGUACCUUCAAGCUCUGCUUGGUGUUGGGUGUUUGUCCUUGCUCUAGUGGCGGGACUCGCCUUAAAGUAAUUGGCAGCCAGUGUUUUGGUUUUGAAGCGCAGCACAAGUCGCGAUUCAAGUCUAUACGCUAGUUUCCACAAGUCUUUUAUCACUUUUGACCUCGGAUCAGGUAGGGAUACCCGCUGAACUUAAGCAUAUCAAUAAGCGGAGGA